UACGUAGGGGGCAAGCGUUGUCCGGAAUCAUUGGGCGUAAAGAGCGUGUAGGCGGCCAGAUAAGUCCGCUGUGAAAUCUCGAGGCUCAACUUCGAGCUGUCGGUGGAAACUGUCUGGCUAGAGUCCGGAAGAGGAGAAUGGAAUUCCUGGUGUAGCGGUGAAAUGCGCAGAUAUCAGGAAGAACACCCGUGGCGAAGGCGGUUCUCUGGGACGGUACUGACACUGAGACGCGAAAGCGUGGGGAGCAAACAGG
rnacentral:rRNA from 1 species